UCCUGAUGAUCUUGUGCUCCUAACACAAAUUUUUAUCCUGCACACACUAAAGAACACUGCACUAGAGCACAAAAUUAGCCUAAAAUAAAUAAAAUAAAAACAGUAACAGAUAUUAUUUUAUUUUAAUUUUUGCUUUUUUUUAAUAAAAGUAGAAAAAUAAAAAAAAGAAAAAUAAAAACACCUCCCAGUAGGUGUUGAUUCUCUUUGCUUGAUAUUCUUUUCUUUUUCUUUUUCCUGCUGAAUUUCUUCAGAAAAUUGAGAACACCAAGCACCAAUUUCCAUAUAUCAAUCAUAGGAACUUCAAUCUCCAAUUUCUUGACAAAUUCAAUAAAGCACUUAAACUUCUUUUCUUUCCUAUGAUAUUUCUUUUAAUGAGGAAGAGGUUUUGCAUAUGAUCUUUUCUUCUUUCCCCUCUUCCUCUUUUUCUUAAUCUCCUCCCUCAACUUUCUCUUUUACUCUUUUCUUAUUUUCUUCUUUAUUUUUGCAUACUUUUUCUUUUUUUCUUUUCUCUCAACCACUUCUUUUUCUCUCUCCUCAUCUUUCUCUCCCUCACUCAACCUUCUUGUUUCUUCUUCCUCUAUCUUUUCCUCCUCUAUCUUCUCCUCAUUUCUCUCCAUUUUUUUCCCUGUAUUUUCUCCUCAUCUAUCUCUAUCUUUUCUUCCUCUAUCUUCUCUUCAUCAAUAAUCUUAUCACUUUCAGAGAUAGUAGCUUGGCAUUCUUCCGUAGGGUUAACUUCAAUGUUAGAUAGUUGACCAAUUUGUGUCUCCAAAUUCCUGAAGGUAACUUCAUAGCUCUUGGAAUCGUAUUUCUCCAAAAUUUGUUGAACUUCUCAUUCAAGCUUUUGACUUGUUCCAUCAAAUCAACUAUCUGAUGACAUAGUUGUUGAUCGUCCUCCC
rnacentral:lncRNA from 1 species